GACGAACGCGGCGGUAUGCUUAACACAUGCAAGUCGAACGAGAAGUCUUUUAUUGAACCUUCGGGGGAUAUAAGAGACAGACAGUGGCGAACGGGUGAGUAACGCGUGGGCAACCUACCUAUCGGAGCGGGAUAGCCUCGAGAAAUCGGGAGUAAAACCGCAUAACACGGAUAUAUCGCAUGAUGAAUCCGUCAAAACUCCGGUGCCGAUAGAUGGGCCCGCGUCUGAUUAGCUAGUUGGUAAGGUAAGGGCUUACCAAGGCAACGAUCAGUAGCCGGUCUGAGAGGGCGAACGGCCACACUGGAACUGAGACACGGUCCAGACUCCUACGGGAGGCAGCAGUGGGGAAUAUUGCGCAAUGGGGGCAACCCUGACGCAGCAAUACCGCGUGAGUGAAGAAGGUUUUCGGAUCGUAAAGCUCUGUUAUUGGGGAAGAAGCAGUGACGUAC
rnacentral:rRNA from 1 species